AGAGUUUGAUCCUGGCUCAGGAUGAACGCUGGCGGCGUGCCUAAUACAUGCAAGUCGAACGCUUCACUUCGGUGAAGAGUGGCGAACGGGUGAGUAAUACAUAAGUAACCUGGCAUCUACAGGGGGAUAACUGAUGGAAACGUCAGCUAAGACCGCAUAGGUGUAGAGAUCGCAUGAACUCUAUAUGAAAAGUGCUACGGGACUGGUAGAUGAUGGACUUAUGGCGCAUUAGCUUGUUGGUAGGGUAACGGCCUACCAAGGCGACGAUGCGUAGCCGACCUGAGAGGGUGACCGGCCACACUGGGACUGAGACACGGCCCAGACUCCUACGGGAGGCAGCAGUAGGGAAUUUUCGGCAAUGGGGGAAACCCUGACCGAGCAACGCCGCGUGAAGGAAGAAGUAAUUCGUUAUGUAAACUUCUGUCAUAGAGGAAGAACGGUGGAUAUAGGGAAUGAUAUCCAAGUGACGGUACUCUAUAAGAAAGCCACGGCUAACUACGUGCCAGCAGCCGCGGUAAUACGUAGGUGGCGAGCGUUAUCCGGAAUUAUUGGGCGUAAAGAGGGAGCAGGCGGCACUAAGGGUCUGUGGUGAAAGAUCGAAGCUUAACUUCGGUAAGCCAUGGAAACCGUAGAGCUAGAGUGUGUGAGAGGAUCGUGGAAUUCCAUGUGUAGCGGUGAAAUGCGUAGAUAUAUGGAGGAACACCAGUGGCGAAGGCGACGAUCUGGCGCAUAACUGACGCUCAGUCCCGAAAGCGUGGGGAGCAAAUAGGAUUAGAUACCCUAGUAGUCCACGCCGUAAACGAUGAGUACUAAGUGUUGGGUGUCAAAGCUCAGUGCUGCAGUUAACGCAAUAAGUACUCCGCCUGAGUAGUACGUUCGCAAGAAUGAAACUCAAAGGAAUUGACGGGGGCCCGCACAAGCGGUGGAGCAUGUGGUUUAAUUCGAAGCAACGCGAAGAACCUUACCAAGUCUUGACAUCCCUCUGACCGGAACUUAAUCGUUCCUUUCCUUCGGGACAGGGGAGACAGGUGGUGCAUGGUUGUCGUCAGCUCGUGUCGUGAGAUGUUGGGUUAAGUCCCGCAACGAGCGCAACCCCUGUUGCCAGUUGCCAGCAUUAAGUUGGGGACUCUGGCGAGACUGCCGGUGACAAGCCGGAGGAAGGCGGGGAUGACGUCAAAUCAUCAUGCCCCUUAUGACCUGGGCUACACACGUGCUACAAUGGACAGAGCAGAGGGAAGCGAAGCCGCGAGGUGGAGCGAAACCCAUAAAACUGUUCUCAGUUCGGACUGCAGUCUGCAACUCGACUGCACGAAGAUGGAAUCGCUAGUAAUCGCGAAUCAGCAUGUCGCGGUGAAUACGUUCUCGGGCCUUGUACACACCGCCCGUCACACCAUGAGAGUCGGUAACACCCGAAGCCGGUGGCCUAACCGCAAGGAAGGAGCUGUCUAAGGUGGGACUGAUGAUUGGGGUGAAGUCGUAACAAGGUAUCCCUACGGGAACGUGGGGAUG
rnacentral:rRNA from 1 species